rnacentral:rRNA from 1 species
AGUGAACGCUGGCGGUAGGCCUAACACAUGCAAGUCGAACGGAAGCACAGUAAGAGCUUGCCCUUACGGUUGGCGAGUGGCGGACGGGUGAGGAAUACAUCGGAAUCUACUUUGUCGGGGGGGAUAACGUAGGGAAACUUACGCUAAUACCGCAUAUGAUCUACGGGUGAAAGCAGUGGAUCUUCGGAGCUUUCGCGAUUGAAUGAGCCGAUGUCGGAUUAGCUAGUUGGCUGGGUAAAGGCCCACCAAGGCGACGAUCCGUAGCUGGGCUGAGAGGAUGGUCCGCCACCCCGGAACUUGGACCCGGUCCACACUCCUACGGGAGGCCGCAGUGGGGAAUAUUGGGCAAUUGGGCAAAGCCCGAUCCAGCCAUACCGCGUGGGUUAAGAAGGGCUUCCGGUUGGAAAACCCUUUUGUUGGGAAAGAAAAGCAGCAGGUUAAUACCCCGCUGUUCUGACGGUACCCAAAGAAUAAGCACCGGCUAACUUCGUG